rnacentral:rRNA from 1 species
CCCAAGAGAUCGGGAUAACACCUGGAAACAGAUGCUAAUACCGGAUAACAACAGAUGAUGCCUAUCAACUGUUUAAAAAGAUGGUUCUGCUAUCACUCUUGGAUGGACCUGCGGUGCAUUAGCUAGUUGGUAGGGUAACGGCCUACCAAUGCGAUGAUGCAUAGCCGAGUUGAGAGACUGAUCGGCCACAUUGGGACUGAGACACGGCCCAAACUCCUACGGGAUGCAGCAGUA